AAGUCGUAACAAGGUUUCCGUAGGUGAACCUGCGGAAGGAUCAUUACAACGUAUCCACGUACCAAACUCUCGAACUGUUCCCAACGGAGCAAAGCACACACUUGUGUGAGAAGUUAAUGGCCGACUGUCUUUCGCUGAUGGAGUCCACAGACUUUUGUCUGAGGACUGAAAGGCUAUCGGUUGCUGGAGCUUCGGCUCUGGGACUUUGUUUGCUUCGUUGCGGUUUCUACCGUCAGCACUUGUUUUACCAUUAUUAACCCUUUGAAUUAUUGAACUGAACUUGAAAGCCUCGCAACCGUCCUUGUUGGCUUCGGUCACGGACAGUGUAGCUUGGUUUUUCUCAUUUACGAAACAAAGAACAACUCUUAGCAACGGAUAUCUUGGUUCUC
rnacentral:misc_RNA from 1 species